AAACAAUCAAGUUCUUUACGAUAAAAAGCUUUCGUUUGGAAAACCUUUCUUGUCUUUCUUAUCUAACAUUCCCUUAGCAAUAUUGAGUGUUGUAUUUUAGAUUGACUUAACAUAACAAGAUCGUGAUCGAGUUAUACAAAAUCGUGAAUAAGUUGUCAAGUGCCGCAUGUACCCUUAGUUCUAGACUAAGGACGUGACAUAAUUCAUAAUUUGUGCUUUAGAUUUUCUUCGUUAUUCACAGUUAAAGUUAUUUUAUCAUAUCGAACUCUCCAAUUAGAUUUUGGGAUCACCGGUGAAAUGUGAUGUUGAGACCUAUGAAAUAACAACGUACAAUCAUUUGGAUGACUUAACCAAACUCCCGAAGGCUCAAUCUGAAGAGGUAGCCGCACAUGUCGCAACACAAAUGGUAUUGAUAUGAGAAGAGUUUGCACAUAUGAAUGCGGUGAGACAAUUGUCUAUUAAAGUAUCAACACUUAAAUAUACCUCGACUAAAAAUUCCUAGUUGCCAAGACAUCUUAAAAGAUAGUUGUUAACUGGAAGUGCCUCAAGUCUAGAUGCCUUCUUCGUUGAAAUUAGCUGAUCAAUCGAAGGGCAAGUAAGCCAAAUCAAAUGAAAAGGAGUUUGGACCCGAGAUGCCUUCUGUACUGAUUGACAUUAUUUACUAAAAUACUUACACCUAAAUACAAUGUUUGCUUUAAUUGUUAUUUAAAUUUAUUGUAUCGUAUCGUUAAAUACGUUAUUACAUAACAACAAAAAGUGCCACUUUAUAUAACAAUCGAUUUUAAUAUGGUCACA
rnacentral:lncRNA from 1 species